AAUNNANAGAUGUGGCGGUAUCUUAUCCUUAUAGAGGAACGUGACCUGUAAUCGAUAAUCCCCGUAUAAUCUUACUUAUAUUAAAGUUUGUAUACCGCUGUUGUUAGAAUACCUUGGAUAGCUAGCCCGUUCUCUUAAGAGAYCUCUNGANCUAUUUNNUCURUUGGGGAUCUUCUACUUCAAAUCAAGGUGCAGUUUAUGUAUAAGUUGAGUUGAGUUACUUUAUUUGUGAAAUGGAUUAUAAAGUGAAACUUUAUAUGAAACAGGAUUUAUUAGUAAGCUAGUAUUAAUUAGAUUAGCUGAAAUAGGGUCUGAGAUAUGUACAAAUCGCCCGUCACUCUGGUUUUAAUAUCAGAUAAGUCGUAACAAAGUAGGUGUAAGGGAACUUGCGCCUAGAUGA
rnacentral:rRNA from 1 species